UGUGUGUGUGUGUGUGUGUGUUUAGUGCUGAGGUGGAGAAACUGUCCGUGGUUGGUUCUCCUUUCUGGAUGGCUCCAGAGGUUCUGAGAGACGAGCCUUACAACGAGAAGGCCGACGUGUUCUCCUAUGGGAUCGUCCUGUGUGAGAUCAUAGCGAGGGUGCAGGCCGACCCUGACUUCCUCCCCCGCACAGAGAACUUCGGCCUGGACUAUCACACGUUCCAGCACAUGGUGGGAGACUGUCCGCCCGACUUCCUGCAGCUGGCCUUCAACUGCUGCAACG